rnacentral:rRNA from 1 species
GACGAACGCUGGCGGCGUGCUUAACACAUGCAAGUCGAACGGAAAGGCCCUGCUUUUGUGGGGUGCUCGAGUGGCGAACGGGUGAGUAACACGUGAGUAACCUGCCCUUGACUUUGGGAUAACUUCAGGAGACUGGGGCUAAUACCGGAGAGGAGCUCCUGCUGCGUGGGGGUGGUUGGAAAGUGUCGGCGGUUGGGGAUGGACUCGCGGCUUAUCAGCUUGUUGGUGGGGUAGGGGCUUACCAAGGCUUUGACGGGUAGCCGGCCUGAGAGGGUGACCGGACACCUGGGGCCUGCGAGACGCCGCAGACUGCUACGGGAGGCAGUAGUGGGGAAUAUUGCACAAUGGGCGGACGCCAGAUGCAGCAACGCCGCGUGCGGGAUGACGGCCUUCGGGUUGUAAACAGAUUUCGACUGUGCCGAAGCGUGAGUGACGGUAAUGGGUAAGGAAGCACCGGCUAACUACGUG